AGAGCAGCCACAUACUCCAUGAAGUCAAUGAACCCGUCCUACAGGGGGAGGCAGAGGGGGUUAUGUUAUUAUUAAAAGAAGAAUUACUUCUCGGUUGUCCAUUCUGUUAAUUAGGGGUUGCCGCAGCUGGAGUAGUCCGAGCUGAUGCAACCUAACCUGGGGUUUUUGAAGAACUGUAAACCCCCGAGUUAUUCAAAUGUCAAUUUGUAUGAAACCUAUACAUUUGACACACCGAAAUCGUCUUCUUAAAUAAAAGAAUACAAAAACAUCAACAUUUAUCUCCUCUUAUUAAAAGUCAAACUGGUCUGGUCUCGUUUGUUUUGCUAACCGUCAGUAUAUCUGUAUCGUCCUGCCUGUUUGGGUUCUAUAAACGCGUGUUUGUUUAUAUAGUGGGAUGUAUAUAGUAGGCCGUUUAUUUCGAAAGAUACUGAAAUGUCCAAUUUUUGUUAUGUCUUUGAAUGUUUCACGCCGGUUCUGCUGUUUAUUUAAUUAACCAGGUGCUAACAACGAAGGUACCGUUGGAGAGCUAGUGUUUUUUAGCAUCGCUAUCAUUGGUUGGAAUGAGACCGUGUGGGCGAUGUUACUGAAUUCGCUUCUGCAGCGCUGCGUCCACGCACAGCCACAGCCACAGCCACAGCCAGAGCCACAGCCACAGCCACAG